UGCCAGGUCGACACGUUUCUUCUGCGGAUUUUCGUCGACUUUUGCUAGGACGUCGAGUUUUUCUUUCAGCAAUAACGCUUUACGCUUUCUAGACAUGGUGAAGCGCACGGGUGAAACGCGGCACCAAAACAGAAGAAACGAUAAGGGCGAAGUGCAAGCUGAACGCUCGAAACACCAAAAUGGCAACGAGAAAUGGCAAGCACAAAGCCAACAAAGCCUACAGCAUCGUCAAUGCAUGCGCCAAUCACUGCUUCUUGGUCACGUGAUUUUACCGUGGCGCUAAAAACCUUCGGUGCGUUUGGUGUGCGAGCUUGCGAAAAUUGCUCCCAGAGGCCGCCACACUGCUGCAGGCGCUGUGCAGAAGCACGGCCGGACUCUAGCCGAGCCAGGCCAAGCCUCGAGCAUACAAAGCGCGCGUCGCCGCGUCUUUAGUCCGCCGUGCCUGUCGUUUCGCUCGAUGUUAAUUUCAGUAGCUCUGCCCACCCACUUCAAAGGACUGGCUCUGAUGUUAUCAUCAUACAGAAGACGUUUCCGGGAUCGUAUUAUCCAAACCGACGUGGAAAUACGAUCGUAUUAGCCGUACAAAAAUGCAUUUACCUCUAUAGGGCAUCGGCCGGGAACGAAAAAAAAACGUAUUAUGCCGAAAAACGUAUUUAGCCGAAUCGUAUCAACGAGAUUUCACUGUAUUUGCUUUAUAACCUUGACCUCCCAAGUGUGGUUGCUGGCAAUAAUGGACACAUAGAACUCAGUGCACCUUUUAUUUUUUUAAAUUUGGCAUGCUGUUUCAUCAGCUUUCUACAGCAUGUGGAAGCACUUCGUCCCGCAUGUCUAGUCAUUCCCAUAGUAAAAAUACUGAAGAGCCAUCAUGUCAAAUUUUCUCGAAGCUAUAAGCACACCACUUACUCCUUUGGCUAUGCCAGAUAUUAUCGGUGUAUUCGUGCAAGCAUGUUGGGAGAACAUGUCUACUGCUACUUGGCUGUACCACACUCUGCUGGCAGGUGUACUAGGGUACCAUUUGUUUGCUGCUGUUUUGCUGUUGUGUUCCAGUCAAAAACAGAUAAAUUUUUGCUGUUGGGUUACAUGGAAUAGUGUAGAUAUAACAGCUCCAAUGGUUGGUACAAACAUGGGCCAUCCUUGGCCCAUCAAGUACUUUGCAGACAUAUUCACACAGUCUCUAUUGAUUUAACGAAUGUCCACAUAAUUUCUGCUCAGCUACAGCUUCUUCAAGCCAUUUGUAAUCAAAUGUAACAGGAAUGUUUUUGUCUUCAUUUAUAUUUCACGAUGCUGUUGCUUCUGCACCAUAACAAUUACCAGCAUGUUCAGUUCUGUACAGGGAGAGUAACAGAGUCACAGUGGAGAGUCACAGUGGAUGUGUUAAGCAAGACCCUGUACAUUUGAUUAGGCACUUUAUGGUGACAAAACAGACUGCAUUCAGAAGUAUUAAAAAUAUCUGAGUGUGUUUUAAAAGGUUAAGUUCAAUAGCUGAAUAAUUUUUUUAAAUAACAUUAUUGAAACCAAUUUAGGGAUGGUCGCCUACAAGCCAUAUCUAUUUUUUCAUUUUUCAUGUGUUCAAACAGGAAAAUUACAGUUGGCCCCGUCAUCAUUAAAAAAAAUGAUACACUAUUAGUACAUGGUAGUAUGGUUUUUAUUAGGGUUGUGGCUUGUACUAGUUGGUUGAUGGUGCAAAAGUAGGGGAACAGCGCAAAAUUGAUGGAACACAAGAUGAAGAAAGGACAAACAGGGCAGACAUGGUUUAUUUGCUUGAUAAACAUGUAUUUAUGUCUUUUGUUGGGAGAUGUGGUACUUCCAUUCUAAAAAAAAGUAAACUACUUGAAUUUGAGGUUAUAAGGUCAGCAUGAGAUUACAAGUGUGAUGCUGGGCACAGCAGUCUCACUGCUGAAGGGCUGAGUGUGGAAGCACUUAUGUUCCAUGAUUUAUGUCCACAUUAAAGAAACCCCGGUGUUCAAGAUUAAUCAGAUGCCCUCCCCACUACAGCCAUAUUUUCCGACAAGAAUUGCUAGAGGGAACUGUAGUGCUGCGUUCAUUUAGCUGCCGUGAGAACAUUGGGCAGUACAUGUAUUUGUCUAGUGUUUGUGCUUGUGGCUUUAAAUAGUCUUCUGGUGUUGUUUAUUUCACUUUCUAAAUGUCCAUGCCAUCAUACUAGUUUACUAGUUUUCUAAACACUGCAAGCUAAUACAUCUUUGUUCAAAUGCAUAACGAUUGUGAAUCGUAUUUAUAAAGCAAUGUUUUGUUGAGUAGGAUAAACUCGUAAAGUCACAAAGCCAUUUGAAGUCACAAGGACAAAGUUCAUGCAAAUGUAUGUACUACCAGUCGUUACUGUCAUUCUCAUUCUGGCUGAACUGCCAUACUUGCAGCUUCCAGUGACAAUAGUGUCAGGGUUCUCUCUAGACAUUUCUGUAAGAAACUUUGUUACUACAGUGCCCCUCAUAACCCCUGUGUUAAUUUGAAAUGAUUAGCUCCAUAAUUUAUUUUUAGAGCUUAAGAGGUUUCAGAAGUUGCUGAGGACUCUGUGUGAAGUAAUGUGCAUAACUAAAAAAAAGAAAAACAAGAUGUAAUCAAAUUGUAUACAAGAUGAGUAGCAUGCACACCGCAGUUGUUAUUCAGAGGUGCACGAGCAUUCAGGAUUCUGUGUUAUGAUGUAGCGUGCACUAUUUGGUUUGUUUAUGAUUUAGGGACCUCGUAAUAUCUUUAAAAUUUGUUUUUCAAUGGUUUUCCCACAUCUGGCCACAGUGGCCGCAUUUCGAUGAAGGUGAAGUGAAAAGACACCGGUGUACUUAGAUUUAGCUGCAUGUUAAAGAAUCCCAGGUGGCCAAAAUUAAUCCGGAGUAACCCACUACGGCGUGCCUCAUAAUCAGAUUGUGGUUUUGGCACAUUAAACCCCAUAAUUUCUUUUUCACACAUUCAUUGGUUACAGUCUGAAUUAUUUUUCACCAUGCUAGCAAUCAUAAGCCAAUCUUGCAGCAUUUUCUCAGUGGAUGUAGUCGAAAAUUACUUUGCUGUACAGAUGAACAGAAGUAGCAGUUAUUGUAUAGUAGGUGAAUCACAGCGCAUGAGACAAGGAAUAACUGAAGAUAUUAGAUACUCAGGGCACAUACUUCAAACUUAUUUAUUGGCAUCAACAUGCAUCCUUAUAGACACAUUUUGUGCACGGAACACUAGACAGUGCUCGUCUAGUGUUCCGUGUUUUCUUUGUCCCUGUGUUCUUUGCGCUGCUUUCCCCAACUAACUGUGAACCAACUCGCCCAAAUCAAAGUCCUGCUUCAUCUCUCUUGGGCUUUAUGCCUAAGAGAGGUGAGGUGCAGAGGGCAAAUGCACUCUGGUUUUGCGGGUGAAGCUUCUGUAUAAUUAUUAGGUUGUCACUGAGUGUAUGGUGUGUGUUCAAAAAGAAACCCAACUUUUCCUAUAGCACUUUGAUUGCUAUCUUUGGCUCUAGCAGGUUACCAGAGACAUUAGAAACUGGAUAUACCAAAAUCGGAGUACGACCGUACAUCCCAAACCCUCGACAUUGUUGUAAAUGCGAGAGGUUUGGUCAUGCUUCCCAGAGCUGCCGAGGGCGGCUAACCUGUGCGAAAUGCGGCAUCAAUGAUCACUCUGCAGAUGACUGUAAGGCUGAGCCCCGUUGUAGCAAUUGUAAUGGUGGCCACCCUGCAUAUUCUUGAUCAUGCGCAGUCUGGAAAAAAAAAAAAAAUAAUUGCGAUAAAGGUAAAAAAAAAAACAUAACUUUCAGAGAAGCAAGACAACGUAUCUCCCACAUUUGCACAGAGCGCAUCUUUCGCUAAAGUGGUACGUCGGGGGACAGUACCACAACGGCACUUGGCGGAUGCCACCACCAAGCGUAGUGAGCGUGCGGCAACGCCACCCGCCCCCAUGGUGGGAGCAGCGAAGGCUGCCCUACCUCUCCCGAAUUUGACCACAGUGGAGGCCUCUGCUAGUGCUGGCACCAGUCAGCCCAGCUCAGAGGUCAAGAAAAACCCACCAACCACAAGGACGGUGGGCUCCAAGGCCUUGUCUUCCGAGACAAGGCUUUCACGGAAAACACACCGCUCGCAAGAGCGCGUGUCCAGUGCCUCUCAAGUGGCCAUGGACACAACACCCAGUCAGAAGGCGCAGUUUACGCCUAAGGAGCAGCGCGAUUUUGUCGACCACUCCAGAAGAGACAGAACUCCCAUUACGGGGCCCCAAAAGGGCACUGUAAGCUAAACAAAGUUCAUUCUCUUUGACACAUAGCACAACGUUUAUUUUAAUAUGGAUACACUGAUUAUUCAGUGGAAUAUCAGAGGCCUGCUAUGCAACCUCGAUGAUGUCCAAGAAAUUCUUAAUGAACUCCAAAAGUGCUGUGUGUCCAAGAGACUCAUUUGAAAUCUAAACAUAAACACUUCCUUCGUCACUAUGUUAUUUUUCGCAAGGAUUGCGAUGAUGCCCUCGCAUCAUCAGGCGGCGUAGCCAUCAUAGCUGACAAAUCUAUAGCCUGUCAACUUAAGGCUCAACCAGACGUACGCGUUCCAACGCGUCCACACCCGCCGCACUGACUCGACGUCGCGCCCGACGGAGGAAGAGGGUGCGCACCCAAACGAUGCACAAGUUGGCGCGCGUCUCGUCGCAGCGGCGCAGUGUUGCUACUUUGCCAUGUUCAAGGCAGCCUAGCCUUCGUUUAACGGCCACGUUAAGCAAUGUGUUACAUAUUGCAAGAAAACACAAUGACUUUAGCUUAACAUUUGUUUUUAUAUUUCAGAAACAUAUUUUACGACUCCUUGUGGGUCAUUCAGCUCAACUGCAACCUAAUAUGAGCAUUGUGAGCCCGGCGAAACCUGCAGCAGCGUCGGCUUAGCAUCACUCAUGUGCUACGCGCCUCGCGUGUUGUACGGUGUGUCAGACCUCGAACUGCACUGCAAGCUUUCGACCUUUGUGCUAACUGUUGAAUCAUGAGACCGUUGUCCAGAAAAAAGAAAGUGUUGCUUGUCAUGAAAAUGAUGACGUUGCUGCUAAUGCUGAAGAGAAGGCGACGUCGGUACCAGCGGCAACCGCGACGAUGGUGGGUUCGGCCCAUGUUUGCUGCACACAAGCAAGAAGGACUUUACUACACAGCAAUGCGCCGUAUGCGUGAAGGCGACCACGCCUUCUUCUCCAAGUUUUACUGUAUGACGCCCCAGAUGUUUGAUACAUUGCUGCCAUUUGUUGUUACAGACCUAACUUGUCAGAACUUCAUAAGAGAACCCUUGGAGCCGGCUGAACAGCUGGCAAUAGCAUUAAGUUACGUGGCAUCAGGCCAAGAUAUCUUUAAUGUCGCACUUGCAUAUCGUGUUGGCAUUGAAACUGCACGAAUGUGCAUACACAUCACAUGUCUAUCCCUCUGGGCACGACUGAAGGAUUACUAUAUGAAGGUAAGCGAACGCUUUCAUAAUGCGUCUGAGAUGUGCUGUUUGUUGUGUGCUUCACCAAAACAGGGGCAGAAUAUAUUUAAGUUUC